CAAUUGUAGAUAUGUAAAGAUGAUUAUUUUUUCAUCCUAGUCUUAAAAUAGAAUUAGUUUGCAGGAAUCAAUAUGAAGUCCUCGUCUACCCUGUCAACCCCUCAAAACAGUAUACUUCAAACACAAUCACAUCCGUAGUAAUUAUUAGUAGGGGAAUUAAGCGUGUGGAGACAAUGAUAAUCAAAACCAAGGAGUAAACAAAGACUCAAAAAACCAAAAGACAUUUACAUUAAUAGUUACAAAUAAUAAAUAAGAAACAACACGAACUCCACUAGAAACCGGGAGUGAAAUUAGG
rnacentral:lncRNA from 1 species